AAAGUGUCGGUAAUUUUAGCUAGCAGCACUUUUUUGACAUGUACCUACAUUUAAAAGUGUCGCUAUAAACCGUUUUUGUUGUAGUGAUAGCGACCCCACAUAUAGCAUCACUUUUAAAAAGUAUCGGUAAUUUAUUCGCUGCACUUUUUUUGACAUAAGCCAAUAUUUUAAAAUAUCGCUAUACAUCAUUUUUAUUAUAAUGGAGAUGCAAAGAGUAGAAAAGUAGGAGGAUAAGAUUAUGGUGUA
rnacentral:lncRNA from 1 species